AGAAAGAAAAAAGAAAACCGGGCUUCAGGGCUCUUUGUUUUAAAAAAAAAUUAAAAAAGAUGGGAAAACUUAAAUUCAAUAAAGAAAAGUAAUGUUACUAAAUGUAGAAACAAAUUAGUAUUUAAUUUUUAAGAAACAUAGCCACAACACAAAGUUGUCUUUCAAAAUUAACAGAACAUUUUUUUUAGCAACAUAAACUAAAAAUCCUUUACCAAGUUAUGUAAUGAUAAAACAUAGAUAUGAUGAAAUAACAAUUCUGAAUCAGGCCACAACAAAUAGAGCAUAU
rnacentral:lncRNA from 1 species